UAGAUAAUCUCAGGGUAUUAGAGAG
rnacentral:piRNA from 1 species